rnacentral:rRNA from 1 species
UACGUAGGAUGCAAGCGUUGUCCGGAAUUAUUGGGCGUAAAGAGCGCGCAGGCGGUCUAUCAAGUCAGAUGUGAAAUAUCCGGGCUUAACCCGGAGGGGUCAUUUGAAACUGGUAGACUAGAGUACAGCAGAGGAUAGCGGAAUUCCCGGUGUAGUGGUGAAAUGCGUAGAUAUCGGGAGGAACACCAGUGGCGAAGGCGACUACCUGGCCUGUUCUUGACGCUGAGGCGCGAAAGCUAGGGGAGCAAACGGG